rnacentral:rRNA from 1 species
GAUGAACGCUGGCGACGUGCUUAACACAUGCAAGUCGAACGAGAGAAGAUCGGUGCUUGCACUGAUCCGAUCGAGUGGCGGACGGGUGAGUAUCGCGUGGGUAACCUGUCUCAUACAGGGGAAUAACAGUUGGAAACGGCAGCUAAAACCGCAUAAGCGCACUGUAUCGCAUGAGACAGUGUGAAAAACUCCGGUGGUAUGAGAUGGACCCGCGUCUGAUUAGCUAGUUGGUGAGGUAACGGCCACCAAGGCAACGAUCAGUAGCCGGCCGGAGAGGGUGAACAGCCACAUUGGGACUAAGACACGGCCCAAACUCAUACGGGAGGCAGCAGUGGGGAAUAUUGCACAAUGGGGGAAACCCUGAUGCAGCGACGCCGCGUGAGUGAUGAAGUAUUUCGGUAUGUAAAGCUCUAUCAGCAGGGAAGAUAAUGACGGUACCUGACUAAGAAGCACCGGCUAAAUACGUGCCAGCCGCCGCGGUAA